GAAAUAUUUUGCCCCCGCCCCAUUUCUACACCCACGAUGAAAUUUGUUAGAUUUUUCCUCUCUUUUGUUUUCAUUUUAAAAUCUGUCCGGUGCGGAGGCUACCUCACUAGAGUCGAUAGAUGCUUCCUCUAGCUCAGAAUUCCUCAUUUCGAGUUCAAACUUAAUCGCACCUCCUGUCACCAAUUUGUUGAGUUCAAACUUAAUCGCACCUCCUGUCACCAAUUAAUUGGAUGGUGUUGAUUUAUGGGUCCCCCUUAGAUUAGUCUCUGACUUAAUUUGACGAUGAUUUUCUAGGUGUUUCUAAUCUAAUUAUGUGCGUGUGUGUAUUUGCCUCUGGGAAAAAGAGUUCAAAGUUAACCAUUACAACUUCAAAGAACAUCUAUGACCUAGGGUUUUCAUUUAUUGAGAGCUCUCCUUAUUUGGAUUCUUCCGCAUCAAUAAUGGGUGAAAGGUAUUUGCGAGAUGGAUUAGUCUCUUAACGGAGCGACUUACCCUUUGUCAACAAAGUUUGAGAGAUUAACCUCAUUGAUGGUACAAGUUGGAUGCUGUGGGUGGAAAUUUCUGCCAGAUUUGCUUGAGAGCUCCACUAACUUACAUUUCUUUCAAACUUUUUAAGGUCAGCUUAUGGCCCUCUUAUGUCGAGAGUGAAAGAGAAUCAUAGAAUGUAAAAGGAGUAAUGCUGUUAAGACUUUGAUUGUACUUUUAGUGGAGUGUAUUGAAUAGUUGUUUUUGUUGUAAUUAGCUUUAGGAAUGUUGAGAAACACAUAGUGGAUGCUGGAGGGUUCCUAAGCAAGUUCCCAGUUGGUUGCUGUCAAGUCUCAGAGAAAUUUUUAUUCGGAAUUUUACUGGCCUCAAAGAUGAGCUUUCAACAACAGGGUAUCUUCUGAAUCAUGGAAGAGCCCUCAAAAAAAUAAAGCUACAUUCUGGUCUACCUCCGAAUGACAUCAAGGAAAAGUUCCGCUUAAGAGGAUAUCAAUCUUCCCCAGAAAGUCAUCUACAUGUGUGAUUGAAUUUGCUUGAGAUGGCUUCAAUGAUCGUGGCCGUUGAGCUUUUCCCAUGGGUGAUGUAAUUAAGGCAGAAUCAAGGUUUAAUUUCUCGAUGUUAAAUGCAUUUGAAGUUGGGUGCACAAAUAUGUUCUGCUGUGCUGCUUACUCAUUAAAGGAUGCAAUCUAUGCAAAUAAAGUAGCUUGCUAUCAUUGUUUUGGCAAUGAGGAAUUUUGUUGGUCCUUUAUGUUUGAACUUUCUUUACGAACUCUCCUUUUGUGCUCUUCAACAAACAUUGUUCAUUUGGUGUUGUUUAUGACAUGAUUGUACAAGUUUUGGACUUUGCAUGGCAGUCUUACUCCAUUAGAAGCUAGUUGCAUAGAGAUUGCUUUUCAAUUUGUACUUGGCAGAAUUAUUAGAUAUAAUGUUAUCUGCAGUUUCAACGUUUGACAGCAUUA